UGGCCCUGCUCAGUCCCUAGGGAAUACAUCAGGAUGUGAUCUGGACUGUAACCCAUGUCUAUGGCCCUGCUGGUUUUACCUCCCUACCACACAGUACAACCUGCUACAGGGCUGGAGGGAAAGGUUUACCUCCCUACAACACAGUACAACCUGCUACAGGGCUGGAGGGAAAGGUUUACCUCCCUACCACACAGUACAACCUGCUACAGGGCUGGAGGG